CACCUACGGGAGGCAGCAGUGGGGGAUAUUGCACAAUGGGGGGAACCCUGAUGCAGUGACGCCGCGUGGGUGAAGAAGUAUUUCGGUAUGUAAAGCCCUAUCGGCAGGGAAGAAAUUGGACGGUACCUGACUAAGAAGCCCCGGCUAACUACGUGCCAGCAGCCGCGGUAAUACGUAGGGGGCAAGCGUUAUCCGGAUUUAUUGGGUUUAAAGGGGGCGCAGGCGGCACGGCAAGCCGGCGGUCAAAUCGCGGGGCUCAACCCCGCCCAGCCGUCGGAACUGCCGGGCUAGAGUGGGCGAGAAGG
rnacentral:rRNA from 1 species